CGGAUGCGAUCAUACCAGCACUAAAGCACCGGAUCCCAUCAGAACUCCGAAGUUAAGCGUGCUUGGGCGAGAGUAGUACUAGGAUGGGUGACCUCCUGGGAAGUCCUCGUGUUGCAUCCCUC
rnacentral:rRNA from 2 species